AGCACAAUCACUUGUUCUUUAAAUGAGGACUAGAAUCAAUGGCAUCACGAGGGUCCCACUGUCUCCUUUUUCUAAUCAGUGAAAUUGAUUUCCCCGUGAAGAAGCGGGGAUAAUUCUAUAAGACGAGAAGACCCCAUGGAGCUUCAAACUCAACGAAUAACUCUACAAUUAUGAUAUCUUAAGAGAUUUAUCCGUUAGUUUUGGGUUGGGGUGACCACGGAGAACAACCUAACCUCCGUAAUGAAAAGAAAUCAUAAUCUAAGAGCUACACCUCUAAGAAUUAACAAAUUAACAUAUAAUGAUCCAUUUUAUUGAUCAAUGAACCAAGUUACCCUGGGGAUAACAGCGCUAUCCACUUCUAGAGUCCAUAUCGCCAAGUGGGUUUACGACCUCGAUGUUGGAUCAGGGUGUCCGAGUGGUGCAGCCGCUACUAAACGUUUGUUCAACGAUUAAAACCCUACAUGAU
rnacentral:rRNA from 1 species